rnacentral:rRNA from 1 species
AUUGAACGCUGGCGGCAGGCCUAACACAUGCAAGUCGAACGGUAGCACAGAGAGCUUGCUCUCGGGUGACGAGUGGCGGACGGGUGAGUAAUGUCUGGGAAACUGCCCGAUGGAGGGGGAUAACUACUGGAAACGGUAGCUAAUACCGCAUAACGUCGCAAGACCAAAGUGGGGGACCUUCGGGCCUCACACCAUCGGAUGUGCCCAGAUGGGAGUAGCUAGUGGGUGGGGUAAUGGCUCACCUAGGCGACGAUCCCUAGCUGGACUGAGAGGCUUACCCGCCACACUGGAACUGGGGCACGGUCCAGACUACUACGGGAGGCAGCGGUGGGGAAUAUUGCACAAUGGGUGCAAGCCUGAUGCAGCCAUGCGGCGUGUGUGAAGAAGGCCUUAUGGUUGUAAAGCACUUUAAGCGAGGAGGAGGCUCUUUUGGUUAAUACCCAAGAUGAGUGGACGUUACUCGCAGAAUAAGCACCGGCUAACUCUGUGCCAGCAGCCGCGGUAA